AAGUCGUAACAAGGUUUCCGUAGGUGAACCUGCGGAAGGAUCAUUACAGAGUUCAUGCCCUUCGGGGUAGAUCUCCCAACCUUAUCAUCACAAAGAGUUGCUUUGGCGAAUCGAGGCCUGCACGCCGGGGCCCCUCUGUAUUCGCCAGAGGAUCACAAAUUCUGAAUUAAUGUCGUCUGAGUACUAUAAAAUAGUUAAAA
rnacentral:misc_RNA from 1 species